rnacentral:rRNA from 1 species
GAUGAACGCUGGCGGCGUGCCUAAUACAUGCAAGUCGAGCGAACAGAUAAGGAGCUUGCCCCUUUGACGUUAGCGGCGGACGGGUGAGUAACACGUGGGUAACCUACCUAUAAGACUGGAAUAACUCCGGGAAACCGGGGCUAAUGCCGGAUAACAUUUAGAACCGCAUGGUUCUAAAGUGAAAGAUGGUUUUGCUAUCACUUAUAGAUGGACCCGCGCCGUAUUAGCUAGUUGGUAAGGUAACGGCUUACCAAGGCAACGAUACGUAGCCGACCUGAGAGGGUGAUCGGCCACACUGGAACUGAGACACGGUCCAGACUCCUACGGGAGGCAGCAGUAGGGAAUCUUCCGCAAUGGGCGAAAGCCUGACGGAGCAACGCCGCGUGAGUGAUGAAGGUCUUCGGAUCGUAAAACUCUGUUAUUAGGGAAGAACAAAUGUGUAAGUAACUGUGCACGUCUUGACGGUACCUAAUCAGAAAGCCACGGCUAACUACGUG